GGGGAUAACUACUGGAAACGGUAGCUAAUACCGCAUAACGUCGCAAGACCAAAGAGGGGGACCUUCGGGCCUCUUGCCAUCGGAUGUGCCCAGAUGGGAUUAGCUUGUUGGUGGGGUAACGGCUCACCAAGGCGACGAUCCCUAGCUGGUCUGAGAGGAUGACCAGCCACACUGGAACUGAGACACGGUCCAGACUCCUACGGGAGGCAGCAGUGGGGAAUAUUGCACAAUGGGCGCAAGCCUGAUGCAGCCAUGCCGCGUGUAUGAAGAAGGCCUUCGGGUUGUAAAGUACUUUCAGCGGGGAGGAAGGGAGUAAAGUUAAUACCUUUGCUCAUUGACGUUACCCGCAGAAGAAGCACCGGCUAACUCCGUGCCAGCAGCCGCGGUAAUACGGAGGGUGCAAGCGUUAAUCGGAAUUACUGGGCGUAAAGCGCACGCAGGCGGUUUGUUAAGUCAGAUGUGAAAUCCCCGGGCUCAACCUGGGAACUGCAUCUGAUACUGGCAAGCUUGAGUCUCGUAGAGGGGGGUAGAAUUCCAGGUGUAGCGGUGAAAUGCGUAGAGAUCUGGAGGAAUACCGGUGGCGAAGGCGGCCCCCUGGACGAAGACUGACGCUCAGGUGCGAAAGCGUGGGGAGCAAACAGGAUUAGAUACCCU
rnacentral:rRNA from 1 species